rnacentral:rRNA from 1 species
AACGAACGCUGGCGGCAGGCCUAACACAUGCAAGUCGAACGCACCGCAAGGUGAGUGGCGCACGGGUGAGUAACACGUGGGAAUGUACCCUUUGGUUCGGAAUAACGUUUGGAAACGAACGCUAAUACCGGAUGAGCCCUGUGGGGGAAAGAUUUAUCGCCAAAGGAGCAGCCCGCGUCUGAUUAGCUAGUUGGUGGGGUAAAGGCCUACCAAGGCGACGAUCAGUAGCUGGUCUGAGAGGAUGAUCAGCCACACUGGGACUGAGACACGGCCCAGACUCCUACGGGAGGCAGCAGUGGGGAAUAUUGGACAAUGGGCGGAAGCCUGAUCCAGCCAUGCCGCGUGAGUGAUGAAGGCCUUCGGGUUGUAAAGCUCUUUCGCACGCGACGAUGAUGACGGUAUCCCCUUAGCAAGCACCGGCUAACUCUGUGCCAGCAGCCGCGGUAAU